AUUGAACGCUGGCGGCAUGCCUUACACAUGCAAGUCGAACGGCAGCACGGGAGCAAUCCUGGUGGCGAGUGGCGAACGGGUGAGUAAUGUAUCGGAACGUGCCCAGUCGUGGGGGAUAACGUAGCGAAAGCUACGCUAAUACCGCAUACGACCUAUGGAUGAAAGCGGGGGAUCGCAAGACCUCGCGCGAUUGGAGCGGCCGAUAUCAGAUUAGGUAGUGGGUGGGGUAAAGGCUCACCAAGCCGACGAUCUGUAGCUGGUCUGAGAGCACGACCAGCCACACUGGGACUGAGACACGGCCCAGACUCCUACGGGAGGCAGCAGUGGGGAAUUUUGGACAAUGGGCUCAAGCCUGAUCCAGCAAUGCCGCGUGCAGGACGAAGGCCUUCGGGUUGUAAACUGCUUUUGUACGGAACGAAACGGUGAGCUCUAAUACAGUUUGCUAAUGACGGUACCGUAAGAAUAAGCACCGGCUAACUACGUGCCAGCCGCCGCCGUAA
rnacentral:rRNA from 1 species